rnacentral:rRNA from 1 species
GGUCCCGAGAGGGAGAACCCCCACACUGGAACUGCGACACGGUCCAGACUCCUACGGGAGGCAGCAGUUUGGAAUUUUGGACAAUGGGCGAAAGCCUGAUCCAGCGACGCCGCGUGGACGAUGAAGGCCUUCGGGUUGUAAAGUCCUUUUGCUCGGGAACAAUUUUUGAGCGUACCGAGAGAAUAAGAGGUUGCUAACUCUGUGCCAGCAGCAGCGGUAAUACAGAGACCUCAAGCGUUAUCCGGAAUCAUUGGGCGUAAAGCGUUCCGAUAGGUGGUUUUACAAGUCAGAAGUGAAAUCUCUCAGCUCAACUGGGAGACUGUCUUUUGAUACUGUAAAACUAGAGGGGCAAAGAGGAAGCUGGAACAAACGGUGUAGUAGUGAAAUGCGUUGAUAUCGUUUGGAACACCAAUAGCGUAGGCAGGCUUCUGGGUGCCACCUGACACUGCUAGGACGAAAGCGUGGGGAGCGAUAAGGAUUAGAUACCCUUGUAGUCCACGCUGUAAACGAUGCACAUUAGGUGCUAGGGAGUAUCGACCCUCCUUAGUACCAUAGCUAACGCGUUAAAUGUGCCGCCUGGGGAGUACGGCCGCAAGGCUAAAACUCAAAGGAAUGACGG